UCUUGGUUCUGUUUGUCAGUUAGAAGAACGGUUCAGAAUUGGUGGAGGGUGGUUUUUGUUUUGUGUGGAGGUUUGGGGUGAAGGUGAUGGAGUUCGAUGAGGAUUGUUCUCAGUUGUGGAUUGUAGGUUGCAGGGUGAGGUUAAGCGUUUGAGGAAAAUUGUGGAAAAAGGUUUGAGUUAGUUAUGUGGAGCCUUUUUCUUCUGUUGAGAGUUGGUUAUUUGUAGGUUGGAGAGAGUCAUGAGGGAUUCUGUUAUGAAGUGGUUGUUAACCGUGGGCAGUUAUGGCAGUUGGAAAUUCAGUUCAGAUUCUUUUGUGAGUUAUUUGGUUAAGUUCAAUAAGUAUAUGAAUUUCUGCUGAGCUUUUUGUUGAUGUUAGUUUUUUAGGGUGGGAUAUUUCGGUUGGAAGUUAAUCAAGGCUGCUAGCGUUUGGUUAUUCGGUUGGAGAAAUUUUCUUUGAAGGUUUUCUUAUGGUUUUAUUGAAUUAUGCAGGUUCUGUUUAUGAGAGAGUUGGAAGCAUGUUCCGGUUCAGCAUUGAGGUGGGAAGUUGUUAUGGAUUACGAUGUUGCUUUGAUGUAAGGACUACUGGCUUUCUUCUACAUGCAAUGUGAUGUUGGAUAUGCUAUGGGUUGCUUCUGAUGAUGGGUUUGAAAGUUAGUCGUGAAGGAGG